GGCCGGUUAGCUCAGUCAGUUAGAGCGUGGUGCUGAUAACACCAAGGUUGUGCGUUCGAUCCCCGCUCGGUCC
rnacentral:tRNA from 1 species